GGCGUGCGGGCCGCGGGGGCUGGGCCGGGCUGCCCCUGCCCUAGGAUGCGGCGCUGGCCGGUGCUGCUCUUCCUGGCCUGGGUCUGCUUUCUCUUUUUUGCUGGAAUCGGGCUGUUCAUGAGCGGCUUCCUGCUCACCCGCAUCGAGCUCGCCAGCAGCAGUUCGUGCUCCGACCCGCCGCUGCCGCCGUCCCGGCAGGGGCACAGCCUCCCGCCGGGCUCCUGUUGGGCGCCGCAGCGCUUCUCCAAGGCCGUGCUCGUCAUCAUCGAUGCCCUCCGUUUCGAGUUCGCCCGCUUUAACCCCGCCAAGGCCAGCCCGCUGCCCUACGAGAACAAGCUGAGCUUCCUGCACCACCUCACGACCUCGCAGCCCCUCCAUGCCCGCCUCUACCGCUUCCGAGCCGACCCCCCCACCGCCACCAUGCAGCGCAUCAAAGGCCUCACCACUGGCUCCCUGCCCACGUUCAUCGACAUCGGCAGCAACUUCGCCACCUACGCGAUCCAGGAGGACAACCUGCUGGCACAGCUGGCGCAGAACGGAAGGAGAGUGGUCUUCAUGGGUGAUGACACCUGGGAAGGACUCUUCCCAAAGAAGUUUUUCCGCUCGUAUUUCUUCCCUUCUUUUAACGUGAAGGAUCUUCACACUGUGGAUGAUGGGAUCCUGCAGCAUCUCUAUCCAACUGUGGACAGCGGUGAGUGGGACGUGCUGAUUGCACACUUCCUCGGCGUGGACCACUGCGGGCACAAACAUGGGCCUGACCACCCCGAAAUGGCUAAGAAGCUCACCCAGAUGAACGAGAUGCUCAGGUCCUUGGUGGAUCACCUGGGGAAUGACACCCUUCUUCUGGUGGCUGGGGACCACGGCAUGACAGAAACCGGAGACCAUGGUGGUGACAGCGAGAAGGAAGUGAAUGCAGCACUGUUUGUCUACAGCAAAACACCCCUAUUUGGCACUGGUCCUCCAGAGGAGCCCGAGGCUGUUCCCCAGGUGAACCUAGUCCCCACCGUAGCCCUGCUGCUGGGUGUCCCCAUUCCCUACAGCAACAUCGGGGAGGUGAUGGCUGACCUGUUCUCCGGGGAUGGUGACGCCGUGUCUGCAGCCUUGCAGCAGCUCUCAGUCUAUCACAUCAACGCCAAGCAGGUGGACCGUUUCCUGCACUCCUACUCACUGGUAGCUCAGGACUUGCCAGCAGAGCAGCUCCAGCACCUGCAGGACCUCUUCUCCAGUGCUGUGGAGGAGCACACUCAGCUCUUGGACCAGGUGCAGGAGGCAACCGUGGUGCCUCUGGAGCUGGAGCCCAGGCUGAGAAGUCUCAUCAGUCGCUUCCAGCUCUACCUGCGGGAGGCACGAGCUGUAUGCACCCAGUCCUGGGCCCGCUUCCGCCCCCUGCGUAUGGUGGGGGGCUGCACCCUUAUUGCAGCUUCCUGCUUGCUCUGCUACAUGACCUCAGAGCUGGCCACAGCAUCAGACUCAUUCUAUCGCCGCUGCUUCCUGUACCCUCAGCUCUGGGGCCUCAUGGGGGCCGUUCUGCUUGGACUGGCCCGCGCCUUCACCCGGGAGGGGCUGGAUCUCCUCCUGAUCUUGUCGUGGUUGGCCGCUGCUUCUCAGCUGGGCUUCUUUUGGCACUGGUGGGGCCGGCAUCCCAAGAGAACGCGUUUGAUGGGCAGUCAGCCACCCCUGGCCAGCGCAGGCCUGAGGCAGAGGCUGCGAGCGUGGCUGGGGCUGGCCUUCCCCAUGAGCAUUCUGCUCUUCCGCUGUGGAGCUAUGUUCUCUGAUAGCUUCGUGGUGGCCGAAGCCCGAGUGGCCCCGUUCCUGCUGGCCUCACUGGUGAUGCUGCUAGUAGGGAAACUGCACUGGGACGGUCGCCUGACUGUCUCAGAAGGCCCCAAGCAGCAGCUCCUUGGCUUUUCUUCUUAUCGGAGAGAGAUCUGGUACCUGCUGUGCCUCGUGGCCGUGCUCCUGGUCUGUGUGCGCCUUUCCAGUUCCUUCCACCAGUGCCGCGAAGAAAUCCCUCAGUGCCGGCCCUCUGUUUUCGUCUCCCCCCUUGCCAGCCUGAGAAACACACGGGCCAAGAACCUCUUCUACCUCCUGUGCGUGGCCUUGCUGGCCGGGCUGGCCUAUGCGGUGCGGAGCUGGCUGCGGCACUACGGCAACCUGAACAGCUCAGACCCCCUCGUGCUCUUUGUGCGCUGGGGUUUCCCGCUGCUGGUCCUCUGCAUUGCCUGCUACUGGGCUGUUGCCUCCAGCACCGACGACUCUCUGGGCAAGCUGCAGGAGCUGGUACAGGUGGCAGUUGUUGCUUUUCCGUGGGCUGUCUAUGGACUGGCAUCCCUGGGGCUGCUGCUCCUGCUGUGCAAUCCCAUGACGGUGCUGGCAAAGGACACACGGGAGUCGAUGGGACCCAUUGUCACUCCCUACCUGGGGGUUCCCAGCUCUGAAGUUGACUUCCUCCACGUCAUCCCUCAGAUCUACAAGAGGAUGCAGGAGUCUCAGAAGAGUCGCCUGGAGCGGGGCAGCUGCAGGGCCACCGUGGCAGCAUAUGGGCUGGGCAGCGUGUAUUCAGCAGCCCUGGUCAUAGCCCUCACCCUGCUGGGCUUCCUCUUGAUGCUUCUGCAUAGUGAGUGCCUGAGUCUCGCCUUCCUCCUCCUCUUCCUGGAGGCCUUUGUGCUGCUGCACAUCCACACACGUGCCAGAGGCCUUGCUGGAGAUGCUGAGCCUUUUUCAGUGCCCUGGUACGCAGUCAUCUCCUGGCUCCUUGCUGCUUCCCAGUUCUUCUACUCCACAGGCCACCAGCCCAUCUUCCCAGCCAUCCACUGGAAUGCAGCCUUUGUGGGCUUCCACCUUGGCCACAGCACGAACCUCCUGCCUGCUCUCCUGGUGGGCGCCAACACCUUUGCCUCCCAUAUCCUCUUUGCAGUUGGCUGCCCUCUGCUCCUGCUUUGGCCCUUUGUGUGUGAGAUGCCAAGCUCACAGAAGAGGAAGCCCAAGAAGGAGCCCCGGGAGGAGCUGCCGGAGGUGGAGGAGCGUAUGAUGGAGAUGAGGCUGCGGGAGUCCCCAGAGAAGUUCUCUGCUGCUCUGCUACAGCUGGGGCUGAAGUACCUCUUUGUCCUUGGGACACAGCUUCUGGCCUGUGUUUGUGCAGCCAUGAUCCUCAGGAGGCACCUCAUGGUCUGGAAGGUCUUUGCCCCAAAGUUCCUCUUUGAGUCACUGGGCUUCAUGGUGAGCAGCAUCUGCCUGUUGCUGGGGAUCUCACUGGUGAUGCGUGUAGACUGUGCCGUCAGCACCUGGUUCAGCCAGCUUCAGCUCAGGACUGCCGGCUGCCCUCCCCACCCUGCCUCUGGAGCUCACCGUCCUCUACAACUCCCUGCUUUUCACUGUGGGAGCAUCUGACUCUGCCAUCAAAGGAGAAGCAGAAGGAAUACACCAGGGUCUCCUCAGGGUUCUGGAGGCUUGUGGGGCCUGUGGGCAGGAUCUUAGCACUGAGGAGCUGUGGCAGAAAGUGCUGCAGGAGGUGACAGCGGAGGAGC